GCUCGUGUAGUAUAAUGGCAUUAUUCCUCACUUGUAAUGAGGAGAUGGGGGUUCGAUUCCUCUCACUUGCUCCA
rnacentral:tRNA from 1 species